rnacentral:rRNA from 1 species
AUACGUAGGGGGCGAGCGUUGUCCGGAAUGAUUGGGCGUAAAGGGCGCGUAGGCGGCCCGGUAAGUCUGGAGUGAAAGUCCUGUUUUUAAGAUGGGAAUUGCUUUGGAUACUGUCGGGCUUGAGUGCAGGAGAGGUAAGUGGAAUUCCCAGUGUAGCGGUGAAAUGCGUAGAGAUUAGGAGGAACACCAGUGGCGAAGGCGGCUUACUGGACUGUAACUGACACUGAGGCACGAAAGCGUGGGGAGCAAACAGGAUUAGAUACCCUGGUAGUCCACGCUGUAAACGAUGAAUACUAGGUGUAGGGGGUAUCAACUCCCUCUGUGCCGCAGCAAACGCAAUAAGUAUUCCGCCUGGGGAGUACGGCCGCAAGGUUGAAACUCAAAUGAAUUGACGGGG